rnacentral:rRNA from 1 species
CCUACGGGAGGCAGCAGUGGGGGAUAUUGCACAAGGGGGGAAACCCUGAUGCAGCAACGCCGCGUGAGUGAAGAAGGAUUUCGGGAUGUAAAGCUCUAUCAGAAGGGAAGAGAAGGACGGUACCUGACUAAGAAGCCCCGGCUAACUACGUGCCAGCAGCCGCGGUAAUACGUAGGGGGCGAGCGUUAUCCGGAUUGACUGGGGGGAAAGGGAGCGUAGACGGCUGGUCAAGUCGGAAGUGAAAGCCCGGGGCUUAACCCCGGAACGGCGUGGGAAACUGCGCAGCUAGAGUGCUGGAGAGGUACGCGGACUUCCUAGUGUAGCGGUGAAAUGCGUCGAUCUUAGGAGG